CUCUAAAUCAGUACUUUUUUGGAAGGGUUGUAGAACUUUUUUGUGGUGUGCUGGAAUAUAUUUAUCUUUAGCUAUUAGAAAAUUGUGAUUUGUGGUUAUCAGUUUGUGCUUGUGCCAUUCAUGCUGCUACAAAGCCAAUAUUUGGCAUUUGAGAUGGUUACUUCUGGUUUUACAUUCAUAUUAAGCCCCGUCCCCUCCCUCCCAAUGCGCACACACGCAAACCCACCUACCCAUG
rnacentral:misc_RNA from 1 species